GGCCGCUGAUGAGCGCUAUCUAUCUUUCUGACACCUCGUCUGAGGGCGGCGGGCGGCCGCGGCCCCUGCUGACGAUCCGUGGCUGAGGCCC